GUUGGGCAUAGUGAGCCUUCUGCUGGCUGUC
rnacentral:piRNA from 1 species